ACAGAGGGUGCAAGCGUUAAUCGGAUUUACUGGGCGUAAAGGGUGCGUAGGUUGUUGUUUAAGUUUGAUGUGAAAUCCCUGGGCUUAACCUAGGAACUGCGUUGAAUACUGAAUGACUAGAGUACUGUAGAGGGUAGUGGAAUUUCCGGUGUAGCGGUGAAAUGCGUAGAUAUAGGAAGGAACACCAGUGGCGAAGGCGACUACCUGGACUGAUACUGACACUGAGGUGCGAAAGCGUGGGGAGCAAACAGGA
rnacentral:rRNA from 1 species